AACGUAGGACGCGAGCGUUAUCCGGAGUUACUGGGCGUAAAGCGCGGGCAGGCGGCUCGAUGCGUCUGAUGUGAAAGCGCCCGGCUAAACCGGGCGAGGCCAUUGGAAACGGACGAGCUGGAGGGCAGUAGAGGCAGGCGGAAUUCCGGGUGGAGUGGUGAAAUGCGUAGAUAUCUGGAGGAACACCGGUGGCGAAGGCGGCAUUCUGGACCGAUAUUGACGCUGAGGAGCGAAAGCCAGGGGAGCAAACGGG
rnacentral:rRNA from 1 species